rnacentral:piRNA from 1 species
CUUUACAAGGUUCUAAGACUGGAAAAGCU